UUCUUGGUCAAUUUAGAGGAAGUAAAAGUUGGUAACAAGGUUUCCGUAGGUGAACCUGCGGAAGGAUCAUUA
rnacentral:rRNA from 1 species